UACUUAGGUGGCAAGCGUUGUCCGGAUUUAUUGGGUUUAAAGGGUGCGUAGGCGGCUUUGUAAGUCAGUGGUGAAAUAUGGCAGCUCAACUGUCAGGGUGCCAUUGAUACUGCGGAGCUUGAGUACAGAUGAGGUAGGCGGAAUUGACGGUGUAGCGGUGAAAUGCUUAGAUAUCGUCAAGAACACCUAUAGCGAAGGCAGCUUACUAGGCUGUAACUGACGCUGAGGCACGAAAGUGUGGGGAUCAAACAGG
rnacentral:rRNA from 1 species